GGACUACAGGGGUAUCUAAUCCUGUUUGCUCCCCACGCUUUCGUGUCUCAGCGUCAGUAUUCGUCCAGUUGGCCGCCUUCGCCACCGGUGUUCCUCUCGAUAUCUACGAAUUUCACCUCUACACCGAGAAUUCCACCAACCUCUCCGAUACUCAAGCCACGCAGUAUCGAAUGCACUUCCCGGGUUAAGCCCGGGGCUUUCACAUCCGACUUACAUGGCCGCCUACACACGCUUUACGCCCAGUAAUUCCGAACAACGUUUGCACCCUCUGUCUUACCGCGGCUGCUGGCAC
rnacentral:rRNA from 1 species